rnacentral:tRNA from 1 species
GGGGGCGUAGCUCAGUGGGAGAGCGCCUGCAUGGCAUGCAGGAGGUCGUGGGUUCGAAUCCCACCGCCUCCA